CAACAAAUUCGCAAUAAAAUAUAUCACAUUUAAAAAUUUUGCUGAAUUGCAGAAAAAUGAGGAACAUUUUACAUUUUCUCAAACAGGGUAAGGAACUUGGUUCCUCGCAUAACUUCUGGCACAGACAUCUGAGGGCAUGGCCGUCCAAGAAGAAAAUGUAGCCAUUGACGCCAUCUAUCGACCACAGGCAAAGAUUGACGAUCCGUUGGAUACCGACCGAGUUAUAGGCAAAAUUUGGUGUAAAAAUGAGGAAAAUUUUACAUUUUCUCAAACAGGGUAAGGAACUUGGUUCCUCGCAUAACUUCUGGCACAGACAUCUGAAGGCAUGGCCGUCUACGAAGAAAAUGUAGCCUUUGAUGCCAUCUAUCGACCACAGGUUAAAGAUUGGCGAUCCGUUGGAUACCGACCGAGUUAUAGGCAAAACUUGGUGCGAAAAUGGGCCUUAGUGGAUUGACAAAUUCAUAGAUUUUUUCAAUUUUUUUCAUUAUUUUUUACCUUUUUUUAAUUUAAAGCAUUGUUUGAGUGAAAAGGAACUAAUUGCAACAAUUUUGCAUUAAAAUAAAACAAAUUUUUAAAUUUUGCUAAGUUUCUCAAAAAAAUGGCAAGGGGUACCCCUUAUGAAAUUUUCGAGUGGAAAAUUUUUUUGAAAUUUUUUUCUGAUUUUGUAUUCUUUUUUUAAUUUAAAGCAAUAUUUGAGUGAAUAGAAACUUAUUGCAACAAAUUCGCAAUAAAAUAUAUCACAUUUAAAAAUUUUGCUGAAUUGCAGAAAAAUGAGGAAAAUUUUACAUUUUCUCAAACAGGGUAAGGAACUUGGUUCCUCGCAUAACUUCUGGCACAGACAUCUGAAGGCAUGGCCGUCUACGAAGAAAAUGUAGCCUUUGAUGCCAUCUAUCGACCACAGGUUAAAGAUUGGCGAUCCGUUGGAUACCGACCGAGUUAUAGGCAAAACUUGGUGCGAAAAUGAGCCUUAGUGGAUUGACAAAUUUAUAGAUUUUUUCAAUUUUUUCAUUAUUUUUUACCUUUUUUUAAUUUAAAACAUUGUUUGAGUGAAAAGGAACUAAUUGCAACAAUUUCGCAUUAAAAUAAAACAAAUUUUUAAAUUUUGCUAAAUUUCUCAAAAAAAUGGCAAGGGGUACCCCUUAUGAAAUUUUCGAGUGGAAAAUUUUUUUGAAUUUUUUUUCUGAUUUUGUAUUCUUUUUUUAAUUUAAAGCAGUAUUUGAGUGAAAAGAAACUUAUUGCAACCAAUUCGCAAUAAAAUAUAUCACAUUUAAAAAUUUUGCUGAAUUGCAGAAAAAUGAGGAACAUUUUACAUUUUCUCAAACAGGGUAAGGAACUUGGUUCCUCGCAUAACUUCUGGCACAGACAUCUGAGGGCAUGGCCGUCCAAGAAGAAAAUGUAGCCAUUGACGCCAUCUAUCGACCACAGGCAAAGAUUGACGAUCCGUUGGAUACCGACCGAGUUAUAGGCAAAAUUUGGUGUAAAAAUGAGGAAAAUUUUACAUUUUCUCAAACAGGGUAAGGAACUUGGUUCCUCGCAUAACUUCUGGCACAGACAUCUGAAGGCAUGGCCGUCUACGAAGAAAAUGUAGCCUUUGAUGCCAUCUAUCGACCACAGGCAAAGAUUGGAGAUCCGUUGGAUACCGACCGAGUUAUAGGCAAAAUUUGAUGUAAAAAUGAGGAAAAUUUUACAUUUUCUCAAACAGGGUAAGGAACUUGGUUCCUCGCAUAACUUCUGGCACAGACAUCUGAGGGCAUGGCCGUCUACGAAGAAAAUGUAGCCUUUGAUGCCAUCUAUCGACCACAUGCAAAGAUUGGCGAUCCGUUGGAUACCGACCGAGUUAUAGGCAAAACUUGGUGCGAAAAUGAGCCUUAGUGGAUUGACAAAUUUAUAGAUUUUUUCAAUUUUUUUCAUUAUUUUUUACCUUUUUUUAAUUUAAAACAUUGUUUGAGUGAAAAGGAACUAAUUGCAACAAUUUCGCAUUAAAAUAAAACAAAUUUUUAAAUUUUGCUAAAUUUCUCAAAAAAAUGGCAAGGGGUACCCCUUAUGAAAUUUUCGAGUGGAAAAUUUUUUUGAAUUUUUUUUCUGAUUUUGUAUUCUUUUUUUAAUUUAAAGCAGUAUUUGAGUGAAAAGAAACUUAUUGCAACAAAUUCGCAAUAAAAUAUAUCACAUUUAAAAAUUUUGCUGAAUUGCAGAAAAAUGAGGAACAUUUUACAUUUUCUCAAACAGGGUAAGGAACUUGGUUCCUCGCAUAACUUCUGGCACAGACAUCUGAGGGCAUGGCCGUCCAAGAAGAAAAUGUAGCCAUUGGUGCCAUCUAUCGACCACAGGUUAAAGAUUGGCGAUCCGCUGGAUACCGACCGAGUUAUAGGCAAAACUUGGUGCGGAAAUGGGCCUUAGUGGAUUGACAAAUUUAUAGAUUUUUUCAAUUUUUUUCAUUAUUUUUUACCUUUUUUUAAUUUAAAACAUUGUUUGAGUGAAAAGGAACUAAUUGCAACAAUUUUGCAUUAAAAUAAAACAAAUUUUUAAAUUUUGUUAAAUUUCUCAAAAAAAUGGCAAGGGGUACCCGUUAUGAAAUUUUCGAGUGGAAAAUUUUUUUGAAUUUUUUUCUGAUUUUGUAUUCUUUUUUUAAUUUAAAGCAGUAUUUGAGUGAAAAGAAACUUAUUGCAACAAAUUCGCAAUAAAAUAUAUCACAUUUAAAAAUUUUGCUGAAUUGCAGAAAAAUGAGGAACAUUUUACAUUCUCUCAAACAGGGUAAGGAACUUGGUUCCUCGCAUAACUUCUGGCACAGACAUCUGAGGGCAUGGCCGUCCAAGAAGAAAAUGUAGCCUUUGAUGCCAUCUAUCGAACACAGGUUAAAGAUUGGCGAUCCGCUGGAUACCGACCGAGUUAUAGGCAAAACUUGGUGCGGAAAUGGGCCUUAGUGGAUUGACAAAUUUAUAGAUUUUUUCAAUUUUUUCAUUAUUUUUUACCUUUUUUUAAUUUAAAACAUUGUUUGAGUGAAAAGGAACUAAUUGCAACAAUUUCGCAUUAAAAUAAAACAAAUUUUUAAAUUUUGCUAAAUUUCUCAAAAAAAUGGCAAGGGGUACCCCUUAUGAAAUUUUCGAGUGGAAAAUUUUUUUGAUUUUUUUUUCUGAUUUUGUAUUCUUUUUUUAAUUUAAAGCAGUAUUUGAGUGAAAAGAAACUUAUUGCAACAAAUUCGCAAUAAAAUAUAUCACAUUUAAAAAUUUUGCUGAAUUGCAGAAAAAUGAGGAAAAUUUUACAUUUUCUCAAACAGGGUAAGGAACUUGGUUCCUCGCAUAACUUCUGGCACAGACAUCUGAGGGCAUGGCCGUCCACGAAGAAAAUGUAGCCAUUGGUGCCAUCUAUCGACCACAGGUUAAAGAUUGGCGAUCCGUUGGAUACCGACCGAGUUAUAGGCAAAACUUGGUGCGAAAAUGGGCCUUAGUGGAUUGACAAAUUUAUAGAUUUUUUCAAUUUUUUUCAUUAUUUUUUACCUUUUUUUAAUUUAAAACAUUGUUUGAGUGAAAAGGAACUAAUUGCAACAAUUUUGCAUUAAAAUAAAACAAAUUUUGAAAUUUUGCUAAAUUUCUCAAAAAAAUGGCAAGGGGUACCCCUUAUGAAAUUUUCGAGUGGAAAAUUUUUUUGAAUUUUUUUUUUCUGAUUUUGUAUUCUUUUUUUAAUUUAAAGCAAUAUUUGAGUGAAAAGAAACUUAUUGCAACAAAUUCGCAAUAAAAUAUAUCACAUUUAAAAAUUUUGCUGAAUUGCAGAAAAAUGAGGAACAUUUUACAUUUUCUCAAACAGGGUAAGGAACUUGGUUCCUCGCAUAACUUCUGGCACAGACAUCUGAGGGCAUGGCCGUCCAAGAAGAAAAUGUAGCCAUUGACGCCAUCUAUCGACCACAGGCAAAGAUUGACGAUCCGUUGGAUACCGACCGAGUUAUAGGCAAAAUUUGGUGUAAAAAUGAGGAAAAUUUUACAUUUUCUCAAACAGGGUAAGGAACUUGGUUCCUCGCAUAACUUCUGGCACAGACAUCUGAGAGCAUGGCCGUCUACGAAGAAAAUGUAGCCUUUGAUGCCAUCUAUCGACCACAGGUUAAAGAUUGGCGAUCCGUUGGAUACCGACCGAGUUAUAGGCAAAACUUGGUGCGAAAAUGGGCCUUACUGGAUUGACAAAUUUAUAGAUUUUUUCAAUUUUUUUCAUUAUUUUUUACCU